AGUCUUAAGACACCGCCCCUACCGUCAUGGGCGCCCAUAUAUUUUCGCGUUCUCAAAAUUGUUAUCGCUUUGACGAUUUAUGUCUUCUAUGAUUUCAAGUAGCUAACAAAUUGAACAAAUAUUUUCAGCAGUGUGAGGAUAAACAAAAAAAAAGGAGUAGAUAAUAAAAAUAAAAACAAAUAUUUGAGUGCAUACAAAUUUAUGUUUAACGAGAGAGCAGGAAAAAGGAAAAGUGUAUUUAAAAAAAAAAUUUGUUUAACAAAAAUUAAUUGUUAUAUUGUGUUCGUGGCUUAAUGUUGUGACAAGCAACUCUCAAAUUGUGUGUUCUGCUGUUGUCUUCGGUGGGAGUGAGGUGCAAAUGCUGGCAGCAUUGCGAGUGGUGCAAAGCCGAAUCGAAACAAAAAAACAACAAAUCAAAUAUGGUAGAAGAUGGUGUGCAGGAAAUGUGAAAAGUCGCAUUACUCAUUGAUUUCUGGUGCUCCGUAAUUUUUGUAUGUUUGCUUGGUUGUUUUGUGUUUUUUUUCUUCUUGUUUUUUUUUUGUUUUUUUUUUUUGUUGUUGAGUGUGCAUUGAAGAGUUGAGAAAUUCAAAUGAAAGUCAGUCGGCAAAGCGUUGUAAAUGCGUUCGAAUCAGACAAAAGCCAACAGCAGCAGCAGCAGCAGCAUCAGUGUCGAAGCAAAUAUCUAACAACGAAAACAAUUGCAAACAACAAUCUACUGGCAACGACAACAACAACAACAACAACUGUUAGCUAGCAACAGUAAGCAACAACUAACAUCACUUGCGAACAUUGCAUUUGAGCAGAGCUGCAACUGCAGCUAAAUACAUAGCAGUUAGCAGCAGUAGCAGCAGCAGCAGCAGCUGGGCAUCGUAUAAUUUCUCUACAUGCAACAAAAUGUAGCACAAGACCCACUACAUAUGUACAUACAUACAUACAUACAUACAUGGGGGUACAUAACCAAGUGUAUUGAAUAUUCGCAACAAUUCGUGGUGGCGCUCGUGUAUGCGUAUGCGCCCAAAUGUACAUAUGUAUGUAUGUAUGCAUGUGUGUUGCAUGUUUUGUACCGAUGCAGUGAAGUGCAACGUAGAAAAAAAUUCGAUAGCCGAAAGAUACAAACUGAGAAUUCGCGGCGUGUAUGUAGCAUUAACAAAAACCGACCAACAAUUCUGUGCUACACCACCAACCAAAUUGCGUUCGUCCGGAGAGUUUGAGUGUUGAGUGUUGAGUACCUAUUCGCCCCAAACUGUUUGGAAAAAAUAGCGAAAAGACAAAUAGUACGGAUGUUGGUGGUAGUGCAGUUUGUCAGCCAAGUGGCAUUGUGAAGGUGGAUUUUCAAAGUUUAAGUAUAUGCUGAAAUAUUGCUAAUAAAUUAAAGUAAUAAACCAUAACGCAGUGAAGAGUAACUGUAAGAAAAUUGAAAAUGAAAUAAUAUAAAUUUCUGACAAUAAUAUCUAGAUUAGUAUGUUAAUUGAGUGGAAAUUAAUGGAUUUGUGAAAAAAGUUUCGUCAGCGCACCGCCGCGUCUAAUGAAAUAUGUAAAUAAAUAUCAAAAUAACUUUUGGAUGGAACCACGUCAUAGGUAUUUAGCCGAGCAAAAGUAAUACAAAUGUCGAAGAGCCGAAUAACUGCAGAGAUUUGUAAGUUUGCAGUCGUGUUAAACAUUCCGAGAAAAAACCACAGAUUUUUUGUAAAUAAUUGUAAGAAAUAUUAUUCAACUCUUGUUGCUAUAAACCUGGAUAACAUCAAACCAAAAUGUAUAUGUACUGCGUG